AUACGGAGGGUCCAAGCGUUAUCCGGAAUCAUGGGGUUUAAAGGGUUCGUAGGCGGGUCAAUAAGUCAGAGGUGAAAUCUUGCAGCUUAACUGUAAAAUUGCCUUUGAAACUGUUGACCUUGAAUUACUGUGAAGUGGUUAGAAUAUGUAGUGUAGCGGUGAAAUGCUUAGAGAUUACAUAGAAUACCGAUUGCGAAGGCAGAUCACUAACAGUAUAUUGACGCUGAUGAACGAAAGCGUGGGUAGCGAACGGGAUUAGAAACCCUAGUAGUCC
rnacentral:rRNA from 1 species